GCCAUUGUAAUGACUCUUCAAUAUUUGAGGGUUCAUCUUUAAAAAGCGAGUUGGCACAAUCUACUAUAUUUAAAGACAUGAGUAGACAAACAUCGUAAAUUAAUGUUCCAGUCGUUGUGUUGGGCGACUCUGCGUUCAAAUUUGAUGAACAUUUGAUGAAACCGUACCCAUUUUGUGUAAACCAACCUUUGGAUAAAAAAAAAUUCAACUAUGUACUCUCGAAAUGUCGAAGAGUGGUGGUGAAUGCUUUCGGUCAUUUAAAGGGAAGGUUUAAAAAAAAGGCCAACACCAGAAUUGUCAUAAAACCGUGCUGCGUUUUGGACAACUUUUUAAAUGAAGAAAAUGAUGAAAUAAUAAAAAGUGGAUUGCAGCACCACAAAUCGAAAACGAAUCUCUGCAGUUUUCAGAAGAUGUCUCUAACAUUUGUGGAAAUGUUAACCCAAGAGCAGAGGAAAUAAGACAAGCGUUCGUUUCGUAUUUCGCAUCGCUUGACGAUGGCCGAGCGCAACCACGCGACGUAGAAGGACCAUCGCUUGGGCUUGGGAGCGGCGACUCUCCCUCCGUAUCGGCCUCCACGUAAAUUGGUUCCAUGUCAAUUGAAAAUAGAAGAAACAAAUAAAAGUGUAAAGAAACAUUC